AGAGUUUGAUCCUGGCUCAGGAUGAAUUCUAGCGACAGGCUUAACACAUGCAAGUCGAGGGGCAGCGAGGGGAGUAGCAAUACUCCCGCCGGCGACCGGCGCACGGGUGAGUAACACGUAUGAAACCUGCCCGUAGCAGGGGGAUAAGCGGAAGAAAUUCCGUCUAAUACCGCGUAACAACCCUUGGAGGCAUCUCCUCGGGUUUAAAGGGAGCGAUUCCGGCUACGGAUGGUCAUGCGUCGCAUUAGCUUGUUGGCGGGGUAACGGCCCACCAAGGCGACGAUGCGUAGGGGUUCUGAGAGGAAGGUCCCCCACACUGGUACUGAGACACGGACCAGACUCCUACGGGAGGCAGCAGUGAGGAAUAUUGGUCAAUGGCCGCAGGGCUGAACCAGCCAAGUCGCGUGAGGGAUGACGGUCCUAUGGAUUGUAAACCUCUUUUGUCAGGGAGCAUAGGGCGUCACGUGUGGCGUUUUGCGAGUACCUGAAGAAAAAGCAUCGGCUAACUCCGUGCCAGCAGCCGCGGUAAUACGGAGGAUGCGAGCGUUAUCCGGAUUUAUUGGGUUUAAAGGGUGCGCAGGCGGAAUGUCAAGUCAGCGGUAAAAUUUCGGGGCUCAACCCCGUCGUGCCGUUGAAACUGGCGUUCUUGAGUGAGCGAGAAGUAUGCGGAAUGCGUGGUGUAGCGGUGAAAUGCAUAGAUAUCACGCAGAACUCCGAUUGCGAAGGCAGCAUACCGGCGCUCAACUGACGCUCAUGCACGAAAGCGUGGGUAUCGAACAGGAUUAGAUACCCUGGUAGUCCACGCAGUAAACGAUGAAUACUAACUGUCCGGGCAGAAUGAUGUCUGGGUGGUACAGCGAAAGCGUUAAGUAUUCCACCUGGGGAGUACGCCGGCAACGGUGAAACUCAAAGGAAUUGACGGGGGCCCGCACAAGCGGAGGAACAUGUGGUUUAAUUCGAUGAUACGCGAGGAACCUUACCCGGGCUCAAACGACGGAUGGAUGUUUCUGAAAGGAGGCAGUCCUACGGGACAUCCGUCGAGGUGCUGCAUGGUUGUCGUCAGCUCGUGCCGUGAGGUGUCGGCUUAAGUGCCAUAACGAGCGCAACCCCCAUCGCCUGUUACCAGCAAGUAAAGUUGGGGACUCUGGCGAGACUGCCGGCGCAAGCUGUGAGGAAGGCGGGGAUGACGUCAAAUCAGCACGGCCCUUACGUCCGGGGCGACACACGUGUUACAAUGGCAGGUACAGAGAGAUGCGAUGUGGCGACGCAGAGCGGAACUUCAAAGCCUGUCUCAGUUCGGAUUGGAGUCUGCAACCCGACUCCAUGAAGCUGGAUUCGCUAGUAAUCGCGCAUCAGCCACGGCGCGGUGAAUACGUUCCCGGGCCUUGCACACACCGCCCGUCA
rnacentral:rRNA from 1 species